rnacentral:lncRNA from 1 species
AUGCCCCACAAUACCCAACUGGCAACGAUGGACUGGGGGUUGACAACGGAGCGCUACCCCCUUCGCCGGGCCUACGGACAACCGUUCUCAACCCCCGGACAAAAGAACUCCCAGUACAUGAAGCCGACGGGGUUUCGCGGGGAGCAGCCGAAGAUCGUGCGGGGGUCGCACCUGAAUAAUGUCACCCAUUUGAUAGGGGUGAGCCUCAACGACACUGACGCCCCUAGCGCCGAGGCGCUGCACUACUACGGGCGGCUGGCGGAUGAUGAGGACCGCGAGGAGCUGUAUCGGAUGCUCCAGAAUGUGACGCUCCUGUCGGAUAUAAGGAAGCAGAUUCUGGACUCGGUUUCGACGCAUAUGACGGAUGGGAUCGAUAUUGAGUAUCCGGAUGUUUAUGCUGAAGCCACCGAGGAUGACGACGAUUCUUUCGUUUUUGCCUCUGCGCCCAGACCCAGACCUGAAAAAUAUCCAAAAUUUCGACCGCCCAUAACGGACUACUCGCCUGAGAUAAUGAUUCACUCGGAUUUGAUGAGCGAUUACGAGAAAAACAGGCCGCACAGCACAAACUUAGUUGAGAUCACGUCAACGCACCGGGACUGCCGGCUGAGGUCGCGGCGGUACAUCUCGGACGGGCAGUGCACCUCGCCGCAGCCGAUCACGGAGGCGGUCUGCGCGGACAGCUGCACGAUGCCCUCCUACAUGUUCAACGAGCUCCCGGAGCCGCCCGAAGACGAGUACGUGGACGAGCCGCCCCGGAGCGUCCAGUACGCCGGAUGGCUGAGGCGCAAGAACUCCAAGCGGCGCACUCGCUCAUCCCCCGCCAAGCCGGACAAGACCGACCGACAGGACUAUAUCGAGGAUUUUGAGAUGGCCGAGAUCGGCCCGAAGCCCUCCUCGAAAUGGUCCUGCGAGUCUGGCGAGACCGGGAAGAAGCGCAUCAACCUCCUCUGCAACGACGGGAGCCUCCGUCAGUACUCCCUCAAGAUCAUCGUCUCCUGCCGCUGCCGGAAGUACCUCCACGGUGCCCACUCCUACCCACCCUCCCUAGCCUCCGCCGGCUCCUACCCGGCCUCCUACUUCACCGGCCCCGGCGACAUCGACCUCCCCGUCGAGGCCUCCGUCCCAGUCGCCUCCAGCCACCGCCCCGUCAAAACCAUCAUCAAACCGGUUCCCGUCCCCGUCUUCCCACCCACGGGCCCACGCGGGAAGCGGCGGUGGAAGAAACGCAAGUACAAGUCGAAGCACCGGUACCCGAACCACAAGCACCAUCACCAUCAUCAUGGACAUCAUCAUCAUCACGGGCAUCAUCAUCAUCAUGGUCAUGGACAUCAUCAUCACCAUGGGAAAGGGAAGGGCAACCACAAGGGCCCCGGCGCCGGGUUCCGGCCCCUGAGCAAACAGCACUGGGAGCAUAUCCGCAAGAAGCUGAAGAAGGUCGCCAAGAAGCAUAGGUUCAAGACGGGGGUGAGGAAGUCGUUCGGGAGCCAGACCCCGGUUUCUGAUCGGCCCAAGACGAAAGGCGAGAAGCAUGGGAAGGCCGAUCGUAGAUUCGGUUUAAUUGAUUGACGUCAUUCGUAGAGGGAAAAAGGAGGUUGAAGACUGUUAAAAUCGAGGAGUGAAAUUAUAUGCCGGAGGUUAUUCGGGUGUCCCAGGGUUAAUGCUCCAGACUUCAUGGAUGCAUUUUUUGGGUCAAAAUAAGUGAUAUUUGUUCUGUAGAAUUUUUCUGAAAAUGUUUUUUUUCGACGCUACAGCCCAUCAAAGUUGAGGAUUUUCCCCCGAAAUUUGCCCUAACUCUAUCGCCAAACGUCAAAUGCCAAUGAAAAUUGUGUCCGUCUUUCCAUAAAAUCGUAAGCAUUUGAAACAACAAAAAAUGAUAAGUACACUAAAAGCUAUCGCUAGGACACAAUUUUCAUUGGCAUUUGACGUUUGGCGCCAGAGUCAUAGGCAAAUUACGGGGGGAAAUUCUCAACUUUGAUGGACUGUAGCGCCGAAAAAAAAUAUUUUCAGAAGAAAUUUUAUAGGACGAAAACGUCUUAUUUUGACCCGAAAAAUCGAUCCCUGAAGUCUGAUGUAUCACCUAACUCUGGGACACCUUGUAUACCUCCUAAAACUAGGACUGAUAUGAAUGCGAAGUGGAAUUUGCACCAUAAAUACGCAUGACACUCCGCAAAAAGAGUAUAUUCCACUCCAUGAUAGUGUAAGUUCCUCCGUGGAUUCAUAUCACUCAGGAUUUUGGGGCGCUGUACAGACUCCGAUACAUAAUUUUACUCCGAAAUUUUCAACAGUGUAGUUUCUGAUUCGUUUACGCAGUAACGAAGGAGAAUAAAAUUUGACGUUAAUGUUUUUGCAAGAUCCGAAAUUCAAAAUGUAGAAGUGAGGAAGUAUGGAUAAUACGUUUUGCUUUAUUCAACAUAAAAUAUAAUUUAAAAAACUUUUUGAUGUCACUUUCUUUCAUAAACCACACCGUUGUAAAGGAAAUAAAAGACAAAAAAAUACAUUUUUCCGCAAUUACGUCAUCAACCUCUUCCCACCAUGCCCGAAAUGCAAAAACCUCCUUUCUUUCUCUAUUUAUGACGUUAUUUUGCAAGGAAAAGGUGAAUAUUACGGGCUGUAUUCGUAGGCGUUUCUUAAACCAAUCAUUUCUUCAUGAAGGCUCAAUGUGCUAUUGCGGAAGUCUUAAACAAAGCACGCUCCAAGAAUGAUGCAUUUUACAAACCUCAUGUAAAAUUUAACAAUGUAUAACUUCGGGAAUAGGUCCUUGCUGAAAAAUGCAAUAUUUUAUCAUCGGUUAUAAUAGAAAGUAAAACGAAAGAGAGACGCCUACCUAUACUUAAGCAAACUGUUGAAUUUUCUGCUUUUAUUGCGGUUUUUUUCUCACCGAAAUUUUUCUUUGGAAUUUCUUAUUUUUUACUUACAAUACCUAGCAACUUGUUGUGACACGUUUUAAGGAUCUGUUUCCGAAGUUAAACUGUUAAAUCUCAGUCGAGGAUGAUAAAAAUUGCCUUUUUUAUGAUUCCAUGUUAAAGGCCUCCUUGAAGCUCCCUAAAUUCUGAUGUAAGCGAUAUAUCGACGGUAGCUUAUAUCGUCUUCGGUGUUCAAAAAUCUCCGUUUCCAUUUUAUUUUUUUGAAAGAGAACAAAUCAAUAUCAUUUCUUGAAAUUUUCAAAUGGUUUUCUUCGCAUCGCACAGAGAAGAAGAAACAGGAAAGUUUUCAGAAAUUGACGUUGCGUUGUUUUCCAUUUCAAAAAUAAAGUAUGACAGAAAGUCUACAACGUCGCAAAUUGAGAUACGUGGUUUGGGAGUUUCACCAUCGAUAUGUCCUCUUUAAGGAAAUAGACUGUUUUACUGUCGUGCUAAGGGAAAACGUCGUAUGAACUUUCAGACGCUGCCAUAUUUCCUUCAAUUAAAACCUAAUUUACUAGGAAAAUCGUUAGUAUUUUUCUUCAAUUUUCUCAGACAAUUUGGUUCGCAAUUUUAUCUAAAACGUCUGAGAAUUUCAAGGGAAAAUACGCAUCAUUUUCUUUAAAAAUAUAUUUUUUAUCCGGAGCAAUUUGGCAACACUCGAAUGUUUAUACGGCGUUCUUCCUUAGCACGGCAGUAUAGUUACGACUGUGAAUACGACCCUCCGCCAAAGAACCGGAAUUCCUUGGAUAUUCUCACCAGUGAGUUGCGACUGAGUUACAUCGCUACCGUUUGCGAUGGCUUAAAUGUUCAGGUUUGAAAAUAAUGUUUCCCCAGUGUGCGAUUAUUAUUUUUGGAUACGAAAAUGGUCACCGUUCUUUUCCGAUCCAUAAGUCAAUAGGUAGUAAUUUUUGUGGGAAUCGGGUAUCCCCCGAGAAAAUAAAUGAAUGUUCCAGAAAAGUAGUAUGCCUGAACGAUGGAUGAGCCGUUCGACACCCCUCAACUUGGAGAAAAUAUCGCGCCAACGCAGCGACUCGCAAGAUACGCGCCCAUUGCCGUAGCGCCUUCAAUUUUGGUGAACGCAACCCGGGCAUCUCCAGAGUACGAAUAGUUGCAUCGAGGCGUAUUUGAAGGCGUUGACAUAUAAAUCGUUGCGUUGAAUCGCGUUGUAUAAAUCGUUGCGUUGUAUUUGUUGUGUUUCGCCGUUGUUUCACCACGAAACGGAAUGACUCGUUUAUUUAAUUGCCCUUUGAGAACUUGAGUCCUUUAAUUUUAAUCCGAUUUAAACACUCCUACGAGUUUUUCCCCACAUAACCACACGUAGGUUUCUACUUGGGAGAUCUUGUUCUAUCCUGUAUUGAGGUAUUUUAAGGUUUGUAUUUUGUGAAUAUGAACCUAAUUAUUUUAGGUCCUCUCUAUUCAAAACGAUUAAGUCCAUCUUUUUAACAAAGCCUUGGAGAAUUUAUAGUGACACAUCAGGUUUACUCUUUUACUUAUUUCCUAAGGGAUGACGGAUAGUAAUAAGAUUUCGUAAUCUUCAUUAUUCUGUUCAUCUUCGAGAGCUGAUAGAUCUAAUGAUUGAUCAACUUGUACAUAUCAUCAUUGUAUAUGGUAUCACAUUGUAAACUUUUCACUAAAUUUUCAUUCUUUCAAGAGCAAUAGAUAUAGAUAGGUAAUGCUGUUACUCUUUUAUUGUCCUUAUUUUCUGUAAAAAUGUCUGUGAUUCAACAAUUAAAAGCAAUUUAGGCUAGUUGGUGACUGGAAUCAUUUAGGGGUGGUUUGAUGCGUGGUUCUUUCAGAAAUUUUGGGUGUAAAAAGUAAGUAAAAGUGGUUUUUAAAAUAUCGAUGGCUCAAGUCAAAAGAUGCUUACUUCCAUUCUGAUGUUUAAAUACCUCCGAUUAUGUUUUAUUGUAAAUUAACAAGAUAUCUUCCCUUGAUUUUCUGUAUUUAUUUUGGUAAAUAUAGAAAAUUCAUAGGAAAUUUCAGUAGGAGAUACCCAUUUUCCCACUUCAACCAUGCAUUGAUUUGUAUCGAACAACUCAAAGAAUACAUACAAAUUGCUCUCAUAAAACUAAUAAUGAUUCUAGUCACAGGAUUCAAAAUUGAACUAUGCAUAAAGAUUAUUGUAAAUUUUAGUUAAGGUUAAUUUAUUGUAAUGAUAGAGAUAAAUAAAUACGUUGAGUACUUAUUUACCAACCUAUAA